rnacentral:lncRNA from 1 species
CAAGAGACGUAUUAUAGACCCCUGCCCAUCAGUCUGAUCGCGGGAGUUUCUGUUGGACUGCUACUGCUACUGCUGGCGAUAGUCAUUGCACUGGUGCUGAGAAAGAAGAAGCAAAGAAGACGCAUUACAGAUCUGCUGCAUGGGAGACAUGGCUUUUCGACGAAUACAUCAAACCUCGCAAGAGAUGACUUUCAGGAUUUAGAGCUCAGAGUGACAGAAGAGAGAGAUGUGGGCAUGAAGAAUCAAGCCAACGGUCAGGAGAAAGAGCUGGAUCAAGCCUCCUCCGAGUAUGAUGACGUGGAUGAGGAAGCAGCGUCCCUGCACACUUACCGAGAGGCCAGUGAGGCACCGGACCCCGGAGGCAACACCACUGACAACCCCCCUCCUCUUCCAGCCCGUGAUGGAGAGCUGGACGACGGCGAUGAUUACGAGGAAGGCUACGAUGAUGUGGCGGAACCGACGGCGGAAGAGGGAAUCGAGCACGGGGUGCCGUCCCAGUCCGAGGAGAGGGAGCUCUCUGUGGAGCCGGAUGCGGAGGACUACGUCCAGCCAGACGCCGAGGAGUGAGAGAGGCAGACCUUAGAGGUGACCUUUCGUAUUCUGGGGAAUGUAAACAUCAUGGCUCUCAGAUGGGUUUUUUAGCACACAGCAGGCUCAACCGUGUGUGUCUUUCCCCUUGUCUUCAACUCUCCCACUCUGAAGCUAGCCUAUGUAAUUUUACAAGUUACAAAUUACAAGUCAGUAAUUGGGUGAAUCCUUAAAAAUCACACAGCCAAAAAUUUUAAUAAAAGAAAUACAGUGUCAUUACUCA